AAUAUUGGACAAGGGUUGCAACGCUGAUCCAGCCAUGCCGCGUGUGUGAAGAAGGUCUUCGGUUUGUAAAGCACUUUAAGUUGGGAGGAAGGCCUUGAGGCUAAUACCCUGCAGUUUUGACGUUACCAACAGAAUAAGCAUCGGCUAACUCUGUGCUAGCAGCAGCGGUAAUAUAGAGGGUGCAAGCGUUAAUCGGAAUUACUGGGCGUAAAGCGCGCGUAGGUGGUUCAGUAAGAUGGGUGUGAAAGCCCCGGGCUUAACCUGGGAACUGCUUUCAUAACUGCUGAGCUAGAGUACGGUAGAGGGUAGUGGAAUUUCCUGUGUAGCGGUGAAAUGCGUAGAUAUAGGAAGGAACACCAGUGGCGAAGGCGAUUACCUGGACUGAUACUGACACUGAGGUGCGAAAGCGUGGGGAGCAAAC
rnacentral:rRNA from 1 species